GGGAAUUAUUGACAAUGGGGGAAACCCUGAUCAUGCAACGCCGCGUGGAUGAUGAAGUACCUCGGUACGUAAAACCCUUUCGACAGGGAAGAAACUCUUCGGAGCUGACGGUACCUGUAGAAGAAGCCACGGCUAACUCCGUGCCAGCAGCCACGGUAAUACGGGGGGGGCAAGCGUUGUUCGGAUUUACUGGGCGUAAAGGGCUCGUAGGCGGCCAACUAAGUCGGAUGUGAAAUCCCCAGGCUCAACCUGGGAACUGCAUCCGAUACUGGAUGGCUUGAAUCCGGGAGAGGGAUGCAGAAUUCCAGGUGUAGCGGUGAAAUGCGUAGAUAUCUGGAGGAAUACCGGUGGCGAAGGCGGCAUCCUGGACCGGCAUUGACGCUGAGGAGCGAAAGCCAGGGGAGCAAAC
rnacentral:rRNA from 1 species